AGAUUCUCCGUGUGGGGCCCGUACGUAUCGCCACGACCGCGUCGUCCCUCUCUUCACUUCCCCUCUCGUCCGAGACGUUCCCUUUCUUCUCCACACGCCCGUAUCCGCACCGCCGCCAUUGCAGGAUUCACCGGCGCGCAUCUCCUCUGUGUAGAACUUCAGAACACAGAUCCAACCCCCGACGUCCUGAGGUGUAUCCACUCUAUCUUCAUCGCCAUGUCACCGUGGCCCGGGUUCAAAGGAGACGGAGCCGAUCCAGAUCCGUCCCUGCUGAGUGACGAGCUCGCCGGAGAUUCUGAAUCUGGGUACGAGAUUGACGCCCACUACGACGCCUUCCUUGAUCUGCCUCGAGAAAUCCACGAUCCGUGCUUCACCGGGACGUUUCACCGGGACGGAACUCAACACGCAUCAUAGGUGUCGUCAUGGCGACCCUCCUCAGAGGAAGGUAGCGUUCGACAUGGCUGCUACAGGGAGACGAUUUCUUGGAUGCCCUCGGCAGGGGGCUGAUCGCUGCUCGUUUGUCGUAUGGGUCGAUGAUCCUUGGAAUCCAAUUUUAACAAGGUCCUUGAUGCACUUGCGGAGCCUGGUUGGCUUACGGAGCAGAGAGGGUAUCCCGACAUGUGAACCGGAGACACAGAUGGAUCAAGCGUACAUAACACUUCUGACCGAGAAGAACAAUCUUCGGAUCGCUGUUGAACAGUUGGAGCACAGCUUUGCGACAAGAGAGCUCAAGCUUAAGGAUGUGAUUCGACGCAACAGUGAGAAUGCCACCCGCCGACUGAAUUUAUAUGCCAACAUCUGCAUAUCCGCCGUCAGUGUAGCCGUCACUGUAUUUGCUUUGAUGGUGGUUAUGCUACUGAAAUAGGCCAAUGGAGAUAUGCACAGUUGGUUCUUUCAGAAUCUGUACCAAUACCCCUGCAUAGUACCUAUGACCUGAAACAAAAAUCCUUCAUUGUGGUUUUUUCAGAAGCUGUACCCAAAUCCCUGCAUUGUUUAAAUGAUCUCUCUGUUGUAAUGCAUUUGGUAAGAGUUCCGUGUGUUGCGGCACUAUAAUGCAUGAUCUUACAUUAUCAUCGUCGCCGUACCACAUUGUAGUGUGAAUUUCUAUGUCUCAGAAUAACUUACACACUGUCUCCUGUAUCGGGAAAUCUUUCAGUGAUAGUUUGUGUCGUGCCCCCUUCA